AGUAAUCAGAAUCUGAGGGUUACUGCAGAUAUACUGAUAAAAAGCCAAGAUGACCUACUCAGUUUCCAUUUCAGAGCCAGAUUUUGGACCUCAAAUUCAUUGAAGAAAAGUCUGAGUCACCAGGCGAAAGGGCUCCACAAAGCCACAGCAAUUGUACAUGGCUAUGAUUAACUGCCAAGUCUUUUCCCAAAGGGGCCUUCAGCUUCCAGGUGGACAGCAUCCAAGCACGGAGACAAGUGAAGGUCCCCAGCCAGGGCCACUUCCUGGCGAAUCA
rnacentral:lncRNA from 1 species